UACGUAGGUGGCAAGCGUUGUCCGGAUUUACUGGGCGUAAAGAGCGCGCAGGCGGUCGGAUAAGUCGAAUGUGAAAGCCCCCGGCUCAACUGGGGAGGGUCAUUCGAUACUGUUCGACUCGAAGGCAGGAGAGGGAAGUGGAAUUCCCGGUGUAGUGGUGAAAUGCGUAGAUAUCGGGAGGAACACCAGUAGCGAAGGCGGCACUCUGGGCCGGUACUGACGCUGAGGAGCGAAAGCGUGGGGAGCGAACAGG
rnacentral:rRNA from 1 species